GUGUCAGCCGCCGCGGUAAUACGAAGGGGGCAAGCGUUGUUCGGAUUUACUGGGCGUAAAGCGCGCGUAGGCGGAUCGCUAAGUCAGGGGUGAAAUCCCGAGGCUCAACCUCGGAACUGCCUUUGAUACUGACGAUCUGGAGAUCGGGAGAGGUGAGUGGAAUUCCGAGUGUAGAGGUGAAAUUCGUAGAUAUUCGGAGGAACACCAGAAGCGAAGGCGGCUCACUGGCCCGAUACUGACGCUGAGGCGCGAAAGCGUGGGGAGCAAACAGGAUUAGAAACCCCUGUAGUCC
rnacentral:rRNA from 1 species